UUUGCAUCGACAUAAUAGGCUACAAAAGUAUAAUUAUCUUUUGAUGACAUGUACAAUCAUUCUUAUAAUGGGGCCAUACAGCAUAGAUACGAUUAAUAACUGUCAUUUUGCAUUUUUCGCUUGUGUUGUCAUAUGGCUUCAGUCCAGCUCCAGUGCUCUGAUCUCAAAUUGGGCAUUGAGCUAAACAGUUCUUCUGAGAGGCGGUCCAGGCAGUCUGAUAGGACAGUACCCUCUCUUUGUCCAAACUAUUUCAAUCGCAUUGAAAUCCCAUUUCAAAUAGAUACUGGUGAGGUCAAUGAACCUGAACUUAGUGUACCAAUAUAAUACAACUAUUGUCAAAGGUAUUUUUGAGACCAGCAGUGCAAAUUACUCAUCCAGUUGCGCAACAGGACAUUUUUGUGGGAAAUAAUGUCGAGGAGGAAAGUGCGGAAUCAACGCCCCGCCGAGAGCGAGGAGGACUCCGAUAUUGACAACCUGUUAGCCGCUCUGACACUCGCCGAGGUGGAAGAGCUGCAGAGCGAACUGACCGUUAUUGACCCGGAUCCAACUGUGCCAGUCGGACUCCGGCAGAAGAACCAGACAGACAAGCAGCCGUCAAUAAAAUACAAUAGGGGGGCAAUGCUUGACUACUGUGAGCGCGAAACCAAGAAACUCAUUCAAAGGGAGCUGUCCUUUGAGGAGCCAACAACUGACAGAGUGAAACGGGAACGCCUGAAGAAGAUGGGGAAGAGCUGUGAUAGUUUCUUCUACUUCAAGUCAGAUGACCAGGAUGACCAGGAUGUCAUGGACCUAAACUUCUCUGCUGUGGAGACCCCUAAGGAGGACAUAUCCAAGGACGAAGAGGAAAAACCUCACAGCAAGAACUUGAAGGGUGAGGGAGGGAGUGGAGAGGGAAAUGAGGAAAGGCCACAUAGUAGGUUAGGGGGAGAUGAGGACAAAGACCAUGAAAAAAAGGAAGAUAAGAUUGUUGAAAAAAGCAAUGAAGUACAGGUUGAAGAAAAUGAGAAAAAGGAGGAGUGCAUAAACAAGGAGAAGGGUAGUAACAAAACACUUGAUCUUAUCUCAAAAUUACAAACAAAAAAAGAAGAUACAAAAGAAAAGGAGCAAAAAUAUAUCAGAAAAAAAACCGUCUCUAAAACCAAGGAUCUGAUUUCAAAGCUUCAAGGGCAUGCUGAUAAAGACGAUACUAAGGAGAAAGAGAAGAAAGAAAACCCUAAAAAAAUGAAGGAUAGCAAGAUCGCAAGAGGAAUUUUCUCUAAAGUAGAGGAAAAACAGAAAGAACUCAGGGAUACUGAGGUGAAGGAAAAGAGGAAUAAUGAGAAGGACAAAGAUAGCGAAAACACGAAAUCACACAGGAAACCAAGUAGAGUCCAGGAUGAGACACAGAUAGACAGUGAAAAGAAGACAGAAAGGACUCCUAAUAAAAACAGUAAAGCCAGCAAUGUAAACCUAGAGGACAGUAGUAGGGAAGAACGCUCAGCUGGUGAAGUCAUGGCGGGAGGCGUGGAGGACGAGGAGGCCAGCAUGUUUGAUGAGCUCCUGGAGCAUGUCAGAAAAGACGACCCUUUAAUGACUGAGCUCAAUGUCAACAACUCAGACGUCAUCAAGACCCACACCCUCAUCCAGUUUGCAGAGGCACUACAACACAACACACAUGUCAAGACGUUUGCUUUAGCCAACACCCGAGCUGACGACCAUGUGGCUUAUGCCAUUGCUGGCACUCUGCGGAACAACACGUCUCUGACCAAUGUCAUCCUUGACUCUAACCACCUCACUGGCAAGGGAAUUUUGGCCGUGGUACACGCCUUAGAGAAAAAUGUAACCAUCACUGAACUGCGCUUCCACAACCAGCGACACAUCUGUGGAGGCAAGACAGAGAUGGAGAUGGCCAAUGUAUUGAGAAACAACACCAGGUUGCUGAAGCUGGGCUACGGCUUUGAACUGGCCGGCCCAAGGAUGACCAUGACCAACAUCCUGAGUCGGAACAUGGACCUGCAGAGGCAACGUCGACUGGAGGAGAAGAAACAAGCACAAGCCCAGCCAUCCCAGCAGCCUCAGCCAUACCAGCCAACACGUCAGAGACCACAACCACAGAACAACACAAAAAAGAACACAUUGCCUUUGGGGAAGUUUUCUUGCGAACCUUCAACUCAACCCCAAUCCAAGUCUGUUGGUGAGACUAAGAAGACAGGAAACCUCCUGAAAACAUCUCCCUUUUUGUCUCCCCCUAACCCCUCACCUGAACCCUUCCACAAGGGGAGCUCCAAAGCUGUGGGUAAGCUAAACCCUAAGGCUUGGGGUAGUAGGUCUGGACCAGGGUCUACAACACCUCCACCUCAGGCUGGGGAUGGUGUAUCUGGUCCUGGAUCUAAACCACCUCCACCUCAGGCUCUUAAGGCUGGCCGAUCUGGACCAGCUCCACCUCCUCCACCUGCCCCAGUGUUGGAGGGCCUAAGGAAAGCCCUCAUGCCUGCCUCACAGAGAAAACUCAACGGGCAGACUUCACGCCACGGAGAGAGGAAUACUAGGGACCAGUUGCUGGACUCCAUUCGCAACAGCACAAUGAAAGCUCUAAAAAAGGUUGAUGUUCCAAAGCUGCUUCAAUAAAGGUGGGGAUGACAGCAAGAAGAGGUUGGACUUGAUACAAAAACAGAACAGCAUUUGUUUUACAGUAGUAGACCGGGGUGAAGCCCUGCCUCUGUUGUUGCUGCUGAGAUAUGGAGAGAUAUCUGAUCCAGUUGGUACUUCGAGCCAGAAGGUGGUUAUGGUGGUUUGUAAUCAUACAAAGUGAAAGCAUCUUAGGCUACAUUGCCUGCUGACUUCAGUCUCCCUCAGUUGAAUCUCUCCCUCCUGUUCUCCCGAGAUGCCCAUAUUUGGUCAUUGCAUUGAAGAUACAGUAUGACGUAAGAAUAACUCCUCUGUUCUUUUUAAUUACUGGAUGAUGGCCAGUUGGAUGUCCUGCUCUUUCAUGUGAGGCUUUGUCUGGCGAAGAGGUGGGGAGAAUGGGGGAGGUGCACGGUGGAAUGGGAAUAGUUAAAAGGGGACGAGCAACUGGAAGGAAAUGCUUACACAUUGCAAGUCACCGUAUUUUCUUAUUUUCACCAGUUAUGUGGCCAUAAGCGCAAUGAAUGAGGGCAUUUGUUUGAUGUUUAUUUAAAGACCAUGUUCCACUGUCACUGUCAAAAGAUGUAAUUAAACAUUUAACCAAACACAUACUGUAGCUAGUAUUGAACACACAACUUGUAUAUGAAGUGUGUGUGGGUUCAUAAUUUGGUCAAUGUGUAAUAUAACAGCAGCCAAUCUCUCUGUUAGUUGUCUAUAGGGAUACCAACUGCUUACAACAUGCAUGCAUGAGGCACUUCCCUAGAGCUGGCAGGAGACCUCUUGAACUUUGCAAGCAUUUAAUUAUGAUGGAUUGUGUCCUGAGGGGGAAGGGAAUAUAUUUUGGGAAUAGUUAGUGCUAUCUGGGAUCCUUGGGACAUCCAGUCCCUACCCUAAAUCCUAACCCCAACCUUAACUCUUACCUUAAGUAUUUUACAUUUCAUCUUCCAUGGGGUAGUUGAAAUAGCAAAACUCCCGGAUAGCAAGGACCUUUUGGGAAGGUUUUGAGAAUGUUGAGACCAUUCUGAAAUGUAUUUACAGAACCAAACAAAACAUAUUAAUAUGAUAUAAUAUAAUAUAAUAUUUCGAGAAUGUAUCCGAUAGCUAAUAGCCAGGUCAUUAAAUUCCUCCAGAUGAACAAUUGUGGAAUAUUCCGUCUGUUUUAGAUGUCUACAUCCGCCUUAUAGAGGCUUUUGAUUCAACAAAAGUAGCUCCUGUCUGUAGCACUUCCUUCCUGAAAUGUUGCAAUCCGUUUAUAUUUUUCACUUCCUUAGGUAAGAUAAAAACAGCCCUGAGCCACUGCAAAUGAUGCUAGUCAAUGGAGACUGAUACGGUGACAGUAGGGGCAUUCGGGAGAAAAGUGGGUCUGUCCUCACAUGUAUCUGUGGUGAAAUUAUUUUACAACUGAAAACAUGAAAAUCUAUCUGAAGUUUCUCCUUUACUUGCCAGUUCUAUGCUGUGAUGCAAAAUUGAGCAAAUUUGGAGCGCACGGAUAUGAAGGUGGAGCUUUAGACAUUGAGUGUUCAUAUCCAGAUGGAUAUCAAUAUAAACCCAAAUACUUGUGUCGUCAUCCCUGUUCCAACAGUGACAUUCUCAUCAGAAGUGUGAAGGGUGAAGCAUUUGUCCCAGUAGGAAGAUUUUCAGUGUAUGACAAUGUCCAUGGAUGUAAUUUCAUUGUCAGCAUCCAAAACCUGGUAUUACAGGACUCUGGACAUUAUUAUUGUGGACUUGAUAAGUGGGGAAGAGAUAUUUUAACAAAUGUAGAGAUCUCUGUGAGUAAAGGUAUGCAUAUUAUUUUGCUUUGAUCUCCCUUUUGAUUACCUUUGAAUGCACAAACAUUUUACCUGGUCUACCCUCUAGUUACUAUGUGUACCCACAGCUCCAUUGGUCACUUCACUGUCUACACCUGCCCCUGUGAUUGACAGGAAGGACACCACUGAAACUAACAAAUAUGUUUCCUCAGAGGUCCCCACCUUUACACAGGUGCCAUACAAAAAGUUACCUGUGGCAGAUUGGGAUGUCACACCUCCAACAACCUCAACUAUUCGGAUUGGUAGCCCAGGCUUUGUACGUGUCCACGUUGUUGUGGGAGCUGUCCUUGGACUAUUGAUGUGUUGCACUCUGGUUGCACUUGGUCUACUCCUCAGAAAACAAUCAAUGUCA